GAACUGGAGAAAAGUAACUUGGAAGAUAUUCUAACUCAAAUUCCAUUGUGGAUAAAAUGGCCUGAUUGCGAUCGAGUAGACUGGCUAAACAAGUUUGUCUUGGAUAUGUGGCCUUACCUUGACAAGUGAAUUUGCUCCACAAUAAGAAGCAUGUCACAAACUAUCUUUACAAAAUACAUUAAGGCAAUUGAAUUCGGCGAACUGAGUCUUGGAACUCUACCACCCAUAAUAUAUGGAGACCAUCAAAAGACAAGUCGCAAGCCUCUACCUCUGGCCUUAAAGACUUGAUAUCCCCUACCUUCAACCUUGAGAAAACAACUGAACUUUCUAGUCGUGAAAAGUUCUUGGAGGUGAUCCAAAACCCAAGCUAUAAAAGAGAGGCUGAGAGUCCCAUAAUCCAAUAGAAACCAGGAAACAUUUAUGAUCACUGUUUCUGGUUUGCAAUUUUGUUGUUUAUAGGUCGAAUAUGGACCUUCAAGCACUUUGGGUCCGAUCAUUGUACUACAUGGGCGAGUUGAGGAUGGCUACUAAGUUAGAGAUUACUUGGACAUUGAUCAAGUCUGGGCUAAAUGGGCUAGCAUGUUCGCAAAUUUUCAGAUCGCUAGUUCAGUAUGUCUAUUGUAGAUCAGUAGUUAGGGAAUCAUGUUGUGCAUAUAGCUAGAACUCACUUCGGUGGCUGUAAUGAUUCAUUAUGAUGACAUUCAAAUAAAGACUAUUUUUUCUAAA